AAAAAACUGCUUCAUGCCUACUACCCCCCUUCGUAGGGGUGAAUGGUCGGUUAAUGUUUCACUUAAAAGCCAUAGUAAGGCUGGAGUUGGGGUUAGAGUUCUUCUUUUGUGGGGGAGAGGAACGGAAGAAUUGGCUGUGAGUAACUGAGGAAUGGAGGGGUGUUCAGUGCUGAAGGCCGUAUUGUAUGGAGAGGAUUCUUUGCUCACCAAAACUUUUUUCAGACUUCAGAGGUGAAAGUUUUUCCUUUAAGGAUUUGGGGGAAGAGUAGGAAACUGAGAUUUUUCUCUGUGAAAGAAUUAGUCCAGUAAGGUCAACAGAGUUAAGUUGAAGAAAACCAGAAUGAGGAGUGUGAGGCACUUGAGAGCUGGCUCCAGAGGAUACUUUUCU